rnacentral:rRNA from 1 species
UACGUAGGGGGCAAGCGUUGUCCGGAAUUACUGGGCGUAAAGGGCGCGUAGGCGGCCUGUUAAGUCGAACGUGAAAUCCCCGGGCUCAACCCGGGAACUGCGUCCGAUACUGGCAGGCUUGAAUUCGGGAGAGGGAUGCGGAAUUCCAGGUGUAGCGGUGAAAUGCGUAGAUAUCUGGAGGAACACCGGUGGCGAAGGCGGCAUCCUGGACCGAGAUUGACGCUGAUGCGCGAAAGCCAGGGGAGCAAACGGG